AUGGCAUGGCAAGGUUGUUUUGGUUCAUCACAUUUCAAGGUUAUUAGAUUUGACUCAAAAGUACAAGGGGUUGAUUGGAGAAGCUGUUAUGUUUGGACAAGGCCUUGUUCAUAUUGGCCACAAGGGCAUAAUUAUCUCAAAUUUCAAGAUAUGGAAGUGGUUUUGGUGGCUAUGAGUCCUCAUUAUCAUCCUCAACAACUUCUAUUCACAAAGCAAGAAUAUUGGCACAAGAAGUUUGUUCAAACUUGUCAAAGUUCCUCAAGGCAUUUUCUUGAUUUAAAAGCUAGGGUUUUGAACUUCAAAGGAAUAUAUCUUGUUCACCUUUUGAUAUUUUUGAGUGAUUCCAAAGACAUCUUUCUCUUCAAAGGGUUAUCAACAAAUCACUUCAAAGGUUCCAAAGAGUUUUCAUGUGGAAUAAACUUGGUGAAGAAGAAAGAUUACAAGUCAUCCAGAUGA